rnacentral:rRNA from 1 species
GUCGGUGCUGAUUGCGGUGAGGGUCCACCCGUUCCCUUUCCGAACACGGCAGUUAAGCUCACCCGCGCCCACGAUACUUGGCUGGCGACGGCCUGGGAAAAUAGGUAGUGCCGACA